rnacentral:rRNA from 1 species
GCAAGUCGAGCGGUAACAGAUCCAGCUUGCUGGAUGCUGACGAGCGGCGGACGGGUGAGUAAUGCAUAGGAAUCUGCCCGAUAGUGGGGGAUAACCUGGGGAAACCCAGGCUAAUACCGCAUACGUCCUACGGGAGAAAGGGGGCUCCGGCUCCCGCUAUGGGAUGAGCCUAUGUCGGAUUAGCUAGUUGGUGAGGUAACGGCUCACCAAGGCCACGAUCCGUAGCUGGUCUGAGAGGAUGAUCAGCCACAUCGGGACUGAGACACGGCCCGAACUCCUACGGGAGGCAGCAGUGGGGAAUAUUGGACAAUGGGGGAAACCCUGAUCCAGCCAUGCCGCGUGUGUGAAGAAGGCCCUCGGGUUGUAAAGCACUUUCAGCGAGGAAGAACGCCUAGCGGUUAAUACCCGCUAGGAAAGACAUCACUCGCAGAAGAAGCACCGGCUAACUCCGUGCCAGCAGCCGCGGUAAUACGGAGGGUGCAAGCGUUAAUCGGAAUUACUGGGCGUAAAGCGCGCGUAGGUGGCUUGAUAAGCCGGUUGUGAAAGCCCCGGGCUCAACCUGGGAACGGCAUCCGGAACUGUCAAGCUAGAGUGCAGGAGAGGAAGGUAGAAUUCCCGGUGUAGCGGUGAAAUGCGUAGAGAUCGGGAGGAAUACCAGUGGCGAAGGCGGCCUUCUGGACUGACACUGACACUGAGGUGCGAAAGCGUGGGUAGCAAACAGGAUUAGAUACCCUGGUAGUCCACGCCGUAAACGAUGUCGACCAGCCGUUGGGUGCCUAGCGCACUUUGUGGCGAAGUUAACGCGAUAAGUCGACCGCCUGGGGAGUACGGCCGCAAGGUUAAAACUCAAAUGAAUUGACGGGGGCCCGCACAAGCGGUGGAGCAUGUGG